UACGAAGGGGGCUAGCGUUGCUCGGAAUCACUGGGCGUAAAGGGUGCGUAGGCGGGUCUUUAAGUCAGGGGUGAAAUCCUGGAGCUCAACUCCAGAACUGCCUUUGAUACUGAAGAUCUUGAGUUCGGGAGAGGUGAGUGGAACUGCGAGUGUAGAGGUGAAAUUCGUAGAUAUUCGCAAGAACACCAGUGGCGAAGGCGGCUCACUGGGCCGAAACUGACGCUGAGGAGCGAAAGCGUGGGGAGCGAACAGG
rnacentral:rRNA from 1 species